CAAACCUCUAAUCGGAAAAG
rnacentral:rRNA from 1 species